rnacentral:rRNA from 1 species
GAUGAACGCUGGCGGCGUGCCUAAUACAUGCAAGUCCAGCGAACAGACGAGGAGCUUGCUCCUCUGACGUUAGCGGCGGACGGGUGAGUAACACGUGGAUAACCUACCUAUAAGACUGGGAUAACUUCGGGAAACCGGAGCUAAUACCGGAUAAUAUAUUGAACCGCAUGGUUCAAUAGUGAAAGACGGUUUUGCUGUCACUUAUAGAUGGAUCCGCGCCGCAUUAGCUAGUUGGUAAGGUAACGGCUUACCAAGGCAACGAUGCGUAGCCGACCUGAGAGGGUGAUCGGCCACACUGGAACUGAGACACGGUCCAGACUCCUACGGGAGGCAGCAGUAGGGAAUCUUCCGCAAUGGGCGAAAGCUUGACGGAGCAACGCCGCGUGAGUGAUGAAGGUCUUCGGAUCGUAAAACUCUGUUAUUAGGGAAGAACAAAUGUGUAAGUAACUAUGCACGUCUUGACGGUACCUAAUCAGAAAGCCACGGCUAACUACGUG